CGUGAGAUGUUGGGUUAAAGUCCCGCAACGAGCGCAACCCUUGCCAUUAGUUGCUACGAAAGGGCACUCUAAUGGGACUGCCGGUGACAAACCGGAGGAAGGUGGGGAUGACGUCAGGUCAUCAUGGCCCUUAUGGGUAGGGCUACACACGUCAUACAAUGGCCGGUACAGAGGGCUGCCAACCCGCGAGGGGGAGCCAAUCCCAGAAAACCGGUCGUAGUCCGGAUCGUAGUCUGCAACUCGACUGCG
rnacentral:rRNA from 1 species